CCUAGGUCUUUCAGAAGAGGAAACACCUAGAAUAAUAUAUUAGUCCCGAUUCAGAGUGAUAAUGGAAAUCAUCUUUUUAAACAAGAACCCCUCGUUAGGCACUCGUGCCAGACGCAAUAAUUAAUAAAGGGAGAUGGCACUAUUUUCGCUACGUAUUUGACGGCAGACGGAUUCGAUUUGAUGGAUUCAUGUACCUAAAUAUGUAUACGGAUAUAUAUGUAUAUAUAUAUAUACGUCUUUCUCCGUACUGUGUACUUUCUAUGUAUUAGAGUCUAAUUAUGUGCAUAUUUAUAUAUGCAUUUGUCUACAAAAUAACCUAUCUAUAUCUAUCUGAGGACCAUCAAGGAUGUAAUACGAAAUAACAUCAAAAAGAAAAUCAAUAGAUAAAUGAAACAGAAAAAGAAAUUUAAAUUCAAGAAGAAAAGAAACAUUGAUUAAAAUGAAAAAAGUAGUUUUAAUUGAAGAAGAUAGGAGAAUCGCCGGUUAUAUUCUUCAUGUUCUUGGCGGCAGCGAGAGGGCUUCCAUGUUCAUCCGUCGGAGUACGUUGGAAAACUGACACGGUAAUCGUACAAAUCAACCAUUAUUUGAUUUUACACGUAGCGAACGAGUGCUAUUUCAAAAUUUAAAUCUAGCAGAAAAUAAAUUUAAAUUA